rnacentral:lncRNA from 1 species
AACAGAGAGUUUUGUUGAUUGCUUUUCCUCAAAUAUGGAAUGCGGUUUGUUCUUUAUUUUAACUACAUAAUCUUUAGUUGAAAGUGGGUUGUUUUUUGGAUAGUAAAUUGUGCUGUUUUCUAUACUCUCUGCUUUCAUUCCUCAUUCAAAGUAUAGGCUUUGACCAUUUGCGGAGUUGGUAUUUCUUUCUUCUAGAAUAGUUUAAAUGUCUUUACCAGUCAAUCAAUGUAAAUAUGCAAAUUUGUAUCCGCAACUCAUAAUCCUCUUUUGAAUUUUGGACUUUUGUACCUUACGGCUUGUCAGCCAUCUCCAUGUGUAUAUUUACAGUUGCACCUUGCCUUGCCUACACCAUCUUCAGCCAUCACCUUGUUUUUGCUUCUCAAGUUAUCACUAAGUGGUAAAGACUUUUCAAAUUAAUAACCUUGAUGAUAUUCUUAAUUUGCCUUUCUCUUAUCUUCAGUAUUCACUCUUAUACCAAAUGUAGUUCACUCACCCUAACAUCUUACAGGCAACCCUCAAUGUGAAUAGAUUCUUUCCUGUCUGUUCCUGUUGCCAUCAGCAUGAUCCAGGCCAUCUUUGCUGGAAGUUUGUCGUAAGCUCCUAAGUGAUUUUUUUUUUUUUCAUAGUUUCAUGACCUUCCAGUGGUAUUUUACAAAUGUCAUCCUGUGCUGUUCACCUUUUUAUUAUCUUCUCUUAUAUUUUCUGUUGCAACUAUACAGGGACUUUGGUCUCAUGAAAAUAUUGUGCAUUUUAUUUGCUUGUGGAUUUGAUUUUUACUGUUUUUUCUACUGCCCUCAUGGUUACCACUCUUUCUGAAUCUUUAUUCUAGUGCAUUCACCCUUUGAGUCGUUAUUCAGGACUCCAUUUGAUUGUAAUUUUGAUUUGGUCAGUAUCCUAUAAGUUUACCCGAUAUUUUACUUACUUUUGUUGUUGCCUAUACGUAGGAGCUGCGUGACUCAAGGUUAUCUUGCUUAUAUUGCCUGAAUCUGUUAUCAUACCCUGAGUGUACUGAUCCUUUGGAGUCUCAGGACUUUUUAGAUUAUUAAACCACCCCCACUUCCUCUUCAUCAUCCAGGGGAUUAAAUACUGUGCCUCCUGCAUUCUAAGCCUACUCUUCACCACCGAGCGAUUUCCCUAUUCCAACUCUCAGAUUUCUUUUUUGUUUCUCAAUGAUGUGGGAGGCAAGAACUCUACCACUGAAGUACAUCUCCAGUUCUCUUAAAUACUUAACAGUGGUAAUUGAAUGCAUUCACUUUUUUAUGCCUUAGCAUCUCUUUGAAUAAGUACUCGAGGAAAUAUUUUAUCAUCACUAUCACUGGCCUUCAAAAAAAGCUCAUUAAAAAUUCAUUUACCAUCAAGACUAUUAGCCUAAAUGGUUUUCCCUAUACAUUAGCCUCAUCUAGAUUUAUACAGAUGAUGUGCUUUGAGAGCUUUUUUGUCACAAGAGUUUCUUCCUUGAUGCUUUCAUAAAAUUAGUGAAAGUUAUGUAUCAUGUAUUACUUAUGACCAAAAAUGUUAUUAUUCAUUGUAAUAGUUGAUUUUUUAAUUUCUUUACCUGCUUAGGGUCUCAGUUUAUUUUACUAUAUCUCUUCUAGUAUCUAAGAAUAAAAGCAAACUUUUAUCUAUAUUUAUAAAGUCUUUCAAGAUGUUCAGGUAGUAUAUUUACUCCCAUCUUUUCUAUGGCAGUAACAUCUCACUUUGUAGCCUAGGCUGGCCCUGAACUCAUUUUUCUGGUCAGCUUCCUGGGUUCUGUUACUACAGGUAUAUGCCACCAUGUCCAGCUGUUUCAUUGCAUCUGGAAUUAUAAUGUAUCUGAUUCCACAUCCUGUGGUGUGUACCUUUUAUUUUUAAGUCUGUAUUUAUAGGCAGACAGACUCAUUACCUACCAUUCAUUUGUAUGAGAGCUAUAUCCAUUGUUUUCAUGUCUACUGGGGACCUGGGGACCAUUUUGGGGUUAGAUCCCAGAAUCUCUCAUUCUCUCAAUCAGUCUAUC